AAAUGAAUAGACGGGGGCCCGCACAAGCGGCGGAGCAUGCGGAUUAAUUCGAUGCAACGCGAAGAACCUUACCAAGGCUUGACAUAUACCAGAAGGCCCCAGAAGUGGGGAGAUCUUUGGACACUGGUAUACAGGUGGUGCAUGGUUGUCGUCAGCUCGUGUCGUGAGAUGUUGGGUUAAGUCCCGUAACGAGCGCAACCCUUGUCCUAUGUUGCCAGCACGUGAUGGUGGGGACUCAUAGGAGACUGCCGGGGUCAACUCGGAGGAAGGUGGGGAUGAGGUCAAAUCAUCAUGCCCCUUAUGUCUUGGGCUUCACGCAUGCUACAAUGGCCGGUACAGUGGGUUGCGAUGCCGUGAGGUGGAGCGAAUCUCAUAAAGCCGGUCUCAGUUCGGAUUGGGGUCUGCAACUCGACCCUAUGAAGUCGGAGUCGCUAGUAAUCGCAGAUCAGCAACGCUGCGGUGAAUACGUUCUCGGGCCUUGCACACACCGCCCGU
rnacentral:rRNA from 1 species